AGUCGAACGAAGUAGCAAUACUUAGUGGCAGACGGGUGAGUAACAUGUAGGUAUCUGCCCUUUGGCCUGGAAUAACACGAGGAAACUUGUGCUAAUACCGGAUAAGUCUUUACGGAGAAAGCUUUAUGCACCAUUGGAUGAGCCUGCACUUGAUUAGUUUGUUGGUGGGGUAAUGGCCUACCAAGACUGUGAUCAAUAGCUGAUUUGAGAGGAUGAUCAGCCACAUUGGGACUGAGACACGGCCCAAACUCCUACGGGAGGCAGCAGUGGGGAAUCUUGCACAAUGGAGGAAACUCUGAUGCAGCGAUGCCGCGUGAGUGAAGAAGGCCUUUGGGUUGUAAAGCUCUUUCGUCGGGGAAGAAAAUGACUGUACCCGAAUAAGAAGGUCC
rnacentral:rRNA from 1 species